AGUCUCGUAGCUCAGCGGUAGAGUACUCACUGAUAAUGUAGGGGUCGGAGUUCGAGUACUGCCGGGACUA
rnacentral:tRNA from 2 species